AGGCGAGUAAAGCAGUAAUGCGCUUGGGGAUGGGCCUGCGGCGGAUUAGCUAGUUGGUGGGGUAACGGCCUACCAAGGCGAUGAUCCGUAGGGGGCGUGAGAGCGUGGCCCCCCACACUGGCACUGAGACACGGGCCAGACUCCUACGGGAGGCAGCAGUGAGGAAUAUUGCACAAUGGGCGCAAGCCUGAUGCAGCAACGCCGCGUGAGGGACGAAGGCCUUCGGGUCGUAAACCUCUUUUCUGAGGGACGAGUAAGGACGGUACCUCAGGAAUAAGUCUCGGCUAACUACGUGCCAGCAGCCGCGGUAAAACGUAGGAGGCGAGCGUUAUCCGGAUUUACUGGGCGUAAAGCGUACGCAGGUGGCUUCGUGAGUCGGACAUGAAAGCUCCUGGCUUAACUGGGAGAGGUUGUUCGAUACUGCGGGGCUUGAGGUUGGGAGAGGGACGUGGAAUUCCCGGUGUAGUGGUGGAAUGCGUAGAUAUCGGGAGGAACACCAGUGGCGCAAGCGGCGUCCUGGCCCACACCUGACGCUGAGGUACGAAAGCGUGGGUAGCAAACAGGAUUAGAUACCCUGGUAGUCCACGCUGUAAACGAUGUCAACUGGGUGUCGGUAGUUUUACACUAUCGGUGCCGAAGCCAACGCG
rnacentral:rRNA from 1 species